rnacentral:rRNA from 1 species
GACGAACGCUGGCGGCGUGCUUAACACAUGCAAGUCGAACGGAAAGGCCCUGCUUGCCGGGUACUCGAGUGGCGAACGGGUGAGUAACACGUGGGUGAUCUGCCCUGCACUUCGGGAUAAGCCUGGGAAACUGGGUCUAAUACCGGAUAGGAGCCAUUUUUAGUGUGAUGGUUGGAAAGUUUUUUCGGUGUAGGAUGAGCUCGCGGCCUAUCAGCUUGUUGGUGGGGUAAUGGCCUACCAAGGCGGCGACGGGUAGCCGGCCUGAGAGGGUGGACGGCCACCAUGGGACUGAGAUACGGCCCAGACUCCUACGGGAGGCAGCAGUGGGGAAUAUUGCACAAUGGGCGCAAGCCUGAUGCAGCGACGCCGCGUGGGGGAUGACGGCCUUCGGGUUGUAAACUCCUUUCGCUAGGGACGAAGCUUUUUGUGACGGUACCUAGAUAAGAAGCACCGGCUAACUACGUG